rnacentral:lncRNA from 1 species
ACAUGUUUACUGACCACAGUCACUUAGUCCUGUUUCACCUCCAUGAAGGUGUUGAGGUCUCAGAGACUUAGGAUCAACAGUUUUCAGGAAGAGUCCAGUUUGACAAAGACGUCCUCAGAGAAGGACGAAUCAGACUCCGACUGUCCAGACUCAGGACUAAUGACUCAGGACUGUACCUGUGUGAAGUGAAAACAGAUCAAGGUUGGAGCUCUGACAGAUGUCGACUCAACGUCACUGCUGCUGAUCAGCACAAACCUCAGAGACCAACUGUGAGUCCACCAGCAGAGGGUCCAGAGAGGAUCUACCUCUACACUGGACUGGGACUAGGACUGGGACUGGGACUGAUACUGACAGCAGCUCUACUGACUGUCGGUAAUCAAAAGUGUCUGAGGAAGAAAGAGUUUCUCAGUAGAGUCGGGAUUUUGCUCAUCAACAGUUCACAACAAAGGAUCAAAGACUGUUCCUCCUUUAAUUUUUAAAUUGUGAAAUUAUCAGUUCCAGAUUGUUCAGAACUCAGCUUCAAGACUCUUAACUAGAAAAAGAAAAUAUGAACACAUCACUCCUGUCUCAGCUUUCUUGCACUGACUUCCAGUAUGUUUUAUAUAUAUAUAUAAAAAUUAUAUUUAUAUAUUUUAAGAUUUUAUUAAUUAACUUUUAAAGCUCUACAUGACCUUUUCCCCAGCUAUGUAUCCCAGCUGUUGAAGCCUUAUGAAUUCUAACGUAGCCUGAGAUGCUCUGGUAGAAAUCUCCUUUAUGUCCCUGAAGUUAAAAUGAAAACUAGAGGUGACAGAGCGUUUGUAUCCAAGUAUAGCAUCCUCAUGGGUCUCUGACCUAAAUCUAAUAGAACACCUCUGGGACGUUCUCAUCAACUUAGGUUCAGGAAGAUCAUAUUGGUUUACAAUUUGGACUUUAACCUGUGGAACUUGAACACUUGUUGUAGCCUCCACAAGCUUCACACUCUGCAGGAGUUUUUGUUCAGUCCUCCUGACAGAACCGGUGCAGCUGAGUCCAGUUUGUGGGUUUGUUCUGGACUUUGUGAGACCACUUCAACAUCUUUACAUCCCAGAUUUUAGUGACACUGUGUUUGAUUUAGUCUUAGAAAUGUUUGUAGAGUUUAAUAAAACCACUUCUGUAAAACAGUCUCACUCACUAACACACUGGAGACCUGAUUUAAUAAGAAGCUUAUUUUUGUUCCUGUGAGAGUUUUCAUUACAUUUAUUCUGUUUUGUUAAUAACUCUUCUGUUGUUAACAUGUAUAUUCCACUUAAUAUUCUUGUCAGGACUCAUUAAAAUAAAGCCUUUCUUAGCCUGUCACCCAGCUAUCACAAUAAACUGCCUCACUCUAACCCUGAAACCUAGUCUUAACCCUGGAAAUGCUCUUUAAACUUGUGAGGACUGGCUAAAAUGUAAUCAGAAGACCA